GAUGAACGCUGGCGGCGUGCCUAAUACAUGCAAGUCGAGCGAAUGGAUUAAGAGCUUGCUCUUAUGGAGUUAGCGGCGGACGGGUGAGUAACACGUGGGUAACCUGCCCAUAAGACUGGGAUAACUCCGGGAAACCGGGGCUAAUACCGGAUAAUAUUUUGAACUGCAUGGUUCAAAAUUGAAAGGUGGCUUCGGCUGUCACUUAUGGAUGGACCCGCGUCGCAUUAGCUAGUUGGUGAGGUAACGGCUCACCAAGGCAACGAUGCGUAGCCGACCUGAGAGGGUGAUCGGCCACACUGGGACUGAGACACGGCCCAGACUCCUACGGGAGGCAGCAGUAGGGAAUCUUCCGCAAUGGACGAAAGUCUGACGGAGCAACGCCGCGUGAGUGAUGAAGGCUUUCGGGUCGUAAAACUCUGUUGUUAGGGAAGAACAAGUGCUAGUUGAAUAAGCUGACACCUUGACGGUACCUAACCAGAAAGCCACGGCUAACUACGUGCCAGCCGCCGCCGUAA
rnacentral:rRNA from 1 species